GAUGAACGCUGGCGGCGUGCUUAACACAUGCAAGUCGAACGAUGAAGCCCAGCUUGCUGGGUGGAUUAGUGGCGAACGGGUGAGUAACACGUGAGUAACCUGCCCUUGACUCUGGGAUAAGCCUGGGAAACUGGGUCUAAUACUGGAUAUGACUUCUCAUCGCAUGGUGGGGGGUGGAAAGAUUUAUUGGUCUUGGAUGGACUCGCGGCCUAUCAGCUUGUUGGUGAGGUAAUGGCUCACCAAGGCGACGACGGGUAGCCGGCCUGAGAGGGUGACCGGCCACACUGGGACUGAGACACGGCCCAGACUCCUACGGGAGGCAGCAGUGGGGAAUAUUGCACAAUGGGCGCAAGCCUGAUGCAGCGACGCCGCGUGAGGGAUGACGGCCUUCGGGUUGUAAACCUCUUUCAGCAGGGAAGAAGCGAGAGUGACGGCACCUGCAGAAGAAGCGCCGGCUAACUACGUG
rnacentral:rRNA from 1 species